ACAUCCCGAAACUAAGCGAGCUACUCUAAAAUAGCCUACCGAGCCAACUCAUCUCUGUUACAAAAGAGUGAGAAGAUUUUAAAGUAGAGGUGACACACCUAUCGAGCUUAGAGAUAGCUGGUUAUUCAAAAAACGGAUUUUAGUCCAACUUUAAGUUUUUUUAGUUUUCCUAAACAAUUAAUAAACUUAAAAGCCAUUCAAAUAAGGUACAGCCUAUUUGACCAAGAAAACAAUCUAUAAUUUAGGGUAACGACUUAUCAACAUGACCAAGUAGGCCUAAAAGCAGCCACCUUCAAAAAAGCGUCCAAGCUUCUUCACAUCUUAUCUUUAAUUCCCUUAUUAAUUCACAACCCUCAACCCAUACUGAAUGACUCCAUACCCAUAUGGAAAACAUUAUGUUAGAACUAGUAACAAGAAAAUGAACUUCUCCAAAAUGCAAACAUAAGCCAAAAUAAACAUCUUACCGGCACUUACCGCUAUAACCCUAGUAAAUUUUCCACAAGAAAGCUCUACUAACUCCAGCGCUAGCCUUACACCAGA
rnacentral:rRNA from 1 species